AGAGUUUGAUCCUGGCUCAGGAUGAACGCUGGCGGCGUGCUUAACACAUGCAAGUCGAGCGAAGCACUUUGGAAAGAUUCUUCGGAUGAUUUCCUUUGUGACUGAGCGGCGGACGGGUGAGUAACGCGUGGGUAACCUGCCUCAUACAGGGGGAUAACAGUUAGAAAUGACUGCUAAUACCGCAUAAGACCACGGUACCGCAUGGUACAGUGGUAAAAACUCCGGUGGUAUGAGAUGGACCCGCGUCUGAUUAGGUAGUUGGUGGGGUAACGGCCUACCAAGCCGACGAUCAGUAGCCGACCUGAGAGGGUGACCGGCCACAUUGGGACUGAGACACGGCCCAGACUCCUACGGGAGGCAGCAGUGGGGAAUAUUGCACAAUGGAGGAAACUCUGAUGCAGCGACGCCGCGUGAAGGAUGAAGUAUUUCGGUAUGUAAACUUCUAUCAGCAGGGAAGAAAAUGACGGUACCUGACUAAGAAGCCCCGGCUAACUACGUGCCAGCAGCCGCGGU
rnacentral:rRNA from 1 species